AUCAGUUGACUUUUAAUUGUUUCUUAUCUACAGAAAAUUAUACCUUACCACUUUAUUUUUGUAUUUCCUACUUUGAGGCUCUGAUAUUUUGGCGUCAUGUCCUCCUGCUGCUCAGCCUCAAAGUAGCUCUGCAUCAUCAUGGUCUUUUCGGCAGCAGAAAGCCUCAGAGCACUGGCAAAACCAAUACCACCUAAAAUGCCUUAAUUCAAAAGAGGCUGUUGGUCAUCCAAAACAAGCCUGCUGUUAUUAAGGUGCAGAGAGCGUCUUCUUGAGGAGUGGUUCUGUGUGGACUGGGAUAUAUUGCAUCACAAAAAACAGCCACUCCACAACAGGGAAAGUGUGAUUCGUGGUUUUAUGAAGCCAUUCCUCCAACCACAUGCAUCAUCAAAGGGGAAGAUGGAUAUUGCACCCAUGAGCAAGCUUGCAUUUGGCCAUCUGUGAAGAUGCCAGACUGCUCCUGUGGAGGCACAAACUUCACUGUGUUACCAGGAAAACCGGGCGUUUUGACUUGCAUCAGCCACUGUAUGAAUGUCAAACAUGCCAGCAGCAAUUGACCCCUGACUUUAAAGACCUCCUAAGAAGUGGAUAUUGGCCAGCCACCAUCAACAAUUCCACACUUUAUACACUUUAUACAACGGCGAUGCACUGCAGCGAAGCUUUUUAGAGCUUUCAUAUGCAUCAUUUGAGGAAGACCAGCUCUGCUGUAGAGCUUCUUUUCACCUUCCCAAGCCUGCACACCAGAAAUGUUGGAUUUUUUAGCAGAUGGAAAUAGAAAGCUAUAUCGCUUUCGCCGAAACAGAAGCUCUGAUGAUCCUGGCUGUUUUUGAGGGGUUCUUUGGGGCUGAAGACAGUGUGGUGUCUAAAUUUGUCGACACCACACAGAAAGCAGUGAAAGAUGCAAGUUGACAAAAUAGUUGUUACAAUAAUAACCGUAACCCCCACUUCAAUUACUUCUGCCUACCAAUUCCAAAAUCAAAUUGAGAGAAUAAAUGGCAUAUAUUAAAUGACACCCUUGCUUUAAUUUGAUUUGUCGUGUUUGUUUAGUGUGUCAUAGACACAGGGAAGAGGCACAUGUGGGGACUCCCAAUGGACAGCAGUGAGGGAAACUUCAAGGAGGGCUUCAAAAUUGGAUGAAGAGGGGAUGGGGGUUGCUGCGUGUCGCAAUGGGUUCCUUUUGAAAGCCCUUAAUAUGUAAAGGGGAGAGAUAUUUCCCUACCCUCUGUACCUUCAAAAGGACAAUUCUUCGCAAUGGACUUGGCACACAAAUACUGGUCAUACCUGGAGAAAGUUGCUAGUGUCGUUCCUGCUCUUCAGGAGCUGACCACUAUGAAACCCUUUCUCAGUGUAAUGCAUGCUCAAACCCAUGCUACUAAAUGUGAGAUUAAUUGGAGUGGCAGGAACCAGGAAGGAGCAGGGACAACCGCCGAAGAGGAGGUGGAGCAAGUGAACCGUUACCUUUCACGUUGUGCCCUAACGACCAAAUACAUGUCCAAAGCAGGGGAUCAGUUUGCAAUAUUCUUGUAUAUUUUUUUUUUUUUGAUUGAUCAUCAUAACCUCAUUAUUUGCUUUAAACAGCACGGGUGGACAUGCUUACAUUGCAUGCAAUGGGGUGGAACGAGAAAAAAAAUCUCUCUUUACAUCGGGCACUUUCCACAAGAUAUGUGAAGACUUGUCAGAGACUCCAUGAUGAGACUGCAAGGAUAGCUGACCUAAAAACAGCUAGAUUGCACAGAUGAAGUGGUGUCAGUGGCUAUCUGAUGUAAAGGAAUGGGCAGCUGGUGAGACACCUGGUACAUCUCGUGCCAGUCAAUGCACAACACACAGAGGAAUUCAGCAAUCAAUUGAGGAGCUGUACCUUAGUGUGAGGCACCGGAAAGCGAACCCUCUACCGUCAGAAUGACAGCAGCAAGUUUCGCAUUUGCCUUCGAAGGAAGCUGGAGAUAGAUAUCUUCAGGAGAUACAGAAAUACAAUGAUCUUGUACUAGAAUCGGCAACAACCAUUGACGUAGCUGUGGUGGAGCAUUCCCUAACUGGAGAGAGUACCGUUUCUCAAAUAUGGCCGUGGGAGGUUCAUGGCAGUGAUAUGUCUGUUUUUAGAUGCUUCACAGGAAUUUAUUUUCAGUUCUGCUUUAUAGAGUAUACUGAACUAAGGCAUGCAUAAUACAUAUUGAGUGUUGUAAUAUUAAUUUAGUUUAUUGGUGUAUUUUAAGAUUUCUUAUGUAUCAGUUUGAUAAAAAAGUAAAUGUUUGUAGUGAUUAUGCAA